rnacentral:rRNA from 1 species
GACGAACGCUGGCGGCGCGCUUAACACAUGCAAGUCGAACGGAAAGGCCUGCUUUCCCUUGUGGAUUGCGGGUACUCGAGUGGCGAACGGGUGAGUAACACGUGAGUGAUCUGCCCCCAACUUGGGUAUAGGCCUGGGAAACUGGGUCUAAUUCCCGAUAGGACUGCAGGGUGGUGCCUGUGGUGGAAAACGAUUUUCUAGUGGUUGGGGAUGAGCUCGCGGCCUAUCAGCUUGUUGGUGGGGUAAUGGCCUACCAAGGCGGCGACGGGUAGCCGGCCUGGGAGGGUGGACGGCCACAUUGGGACUGAAAUACGGCACAGACUACUACGGGAGGUAGCAGUGGGGAAUAUUGCACAAUGGGCGGAAGCCUGAUGCAGCGACGCCGCGUGGGGGAUGACGGCCUUCGGGUUGUAAACUCCUUUCGACCGCGAGGAAGCCACCUGGUUGGAAGGGUGGUGACGGUAGUGGUAGAAGAAGCACCGGCUAACUACGUG